rnacentral:rRNA from 1 species
UACGAAGGGUGCAAGCGUUAUUCGGAAUCAUUGGGCGUAAAGGGUGCGUAGACGGCAUGCUAAGUCUAUUGUUAAAUCUCCCGGCCUAACCGGGAAUCAGCAGCAGAUACUGAUGUGCUAGAGGAUGGAAGAGAGAAGUGGAAUUCUCGGAGUAGCGGUAAAAUGCGUAGAUCUCGAGAGGAACACCAAUGGCGAAGGCAGCUUCUUGGUCCAUUUCUGACGUUGAGGCACGAAAGCGUGGGGAGCAAACAGG